AGUUCACAUCGACGAGGAGGUUUGGCACCUCGAUGUCGGCUCAUCGCAACCUGGGGCUGAAGUCGGUCCCAAGGGUUGGGCUGUUCGCCCAUUAAAGCGGUACGCGAGCUGGGUUCAGAACGUCGUGAGACAGUUCGGUCCCUAUCUGCUAUGCGUGUAGAAGAAUUGAGAGGAGUUGACCCUAGUACGAGAGGACCGGGUUGAACAUACCACUGGUGGACCGGUUGUAGCGCCAGCUGCAGUGCCGGGUAGCUAAGUAUGGACGAGAUAACUGCUGAAAGCAUCUAAG
rnacentral:rRNA from 14 species